rnacentral:sRNA from 1 species
CCCACGGCUCACGCCGUGGGCUGCGCUGUUCCGCCGCUUCGCGGCU